rnacentral:rRNA from 1 species
UGGCCUACGGGAGGCAGCAGUGAGGAAUAUUGGUCAAUGGGCGCGAGCCUGAACCAGCCAAGUCGCGUGAGGGAUGAAGGUUCUAUGGAUCGUAAACCUCUUUUAUAAGGGAAUAAAGUGUGGGACGUGUCCUAUUUUGUAUGUACCUUAUGAAUAAGGAUCGGCUAACUCCGUGCCAGCAGCCGCGGUAAUACGGAGGAUCCGAGCGUUAUCCGGAUUUAUUGGGUUUAAAGGGUGCGUAGGCGGCCUUUUAAGUCAGCGGUGAAAGUCUGUGGUGCAACCAUAGAAUUGUCGUUGAUACUGGG